AGUGGGAUAACUGGGUCAAAUGGUGGUUCCAUUCCAAUUUUUUGAGGAAUUUCCAUACUGCUUUCCAGAGUGUUUGCACCAAUUUGCAGUCCCACCAGCAAU
rnacentral:pre_miRNA from 1 species